UUUCCGUAGGUGAACCUGCGGAAGGAUCAUUAAUGAGUUGUCAUGGGGUUCGAUGCUGGCAGCCAGUUUUUGGAUGCAUGUGCUUGCCCUAACAAUCAUCUUCUUCCAAACACCUGUGCACAUUUUUGAGGGAGUCUUGAGUUGGUUGCCGCUCUUGGGUGAUUUUCUCACAUUCCCUUAAAUCAUUAUACGCUAUUAACAAUGUUGAACGUGUUCUGUGCCGCAAGGCCAUUAAUAUAAUACAACUUUUAACAACGGAUCUCUUGGCUCUC
rnacentral:misc_RNA from 1 species